rnacentral:rRNA from 1 species
CGGUAACGCGUAUGCAAUCUACCUUUUGCAGAGGGAUAGCCCAGAGAAAUUUGGAUUAAUACCUCAUAGUAUGUGAGAAUGGCAUCAUUUUCACAUUAAAGUCACAACGGCAAAAGAUGAGCAUGCGUCCCAUUAGCUAGUUGGUAAGGUAACGGCUCACCAAGGCAACGAUGGGUAGGGGUCCUGAGAGGGAGAUCCCCCACACUGGUACUGAGACACGGACCAG